AGAUUGAACGCUGGCGGCAUGCCUUACACAUGCAAGUCGAACGGCAGCACGGGAGCAAUCCUGGUGGCGAGUGGCGAACGGGUGAGUAAUACAUCGGAACGUGCCCAAUCGUGGGGGAUAACGCAGCGAAAGCUGUGCUAAUACCGCAUAAGAUCUACGGAUGAAAGCAGGGGAUCGCAAGACCUUGCGCGAAUGGAGCGGCCGAUGGCAGAUUAGGUAGUUGGUGAGGUAAGCUCACCAGCCUUCGAUCUGUAGCUGGUCUGGAGAGGACACCAGCCACACGUGGGACUGGAGACCGACGGCCCAGACCUCCGUACGGGAGCAGCGAGGU
rnacentral:rRNA from 1 species